AGCUUACCAUGCAGUCGAGCGAAGCCUUCGGGCUUAGCGGCGGACGGGUGAGUAACGCGUGGGAACGUGCCCCUUGGUACGGAAUAGUCCCUGGAAACGGGGUUUAAUACCGUAUGAGCUCUUCGGAGGAAAGAUUUAUCGCCAAGGGAUCGGCCCGCGUUGGGUUAGGUAGUUGGUGGGGUAAUGGCCUACCAAGCCGACGAUCCAUAGCUGGUUUGAGAGGAUGAUCAGCCACACUGGGACUGAGACACGGCCCAGACUCCUACGGGAGGCAGCAGUGGGGAAUCUUAGACAAUGGGGGAAACCCUGAUCUAGCCAUGCCGCGUGAUUGAUGAAGGCCUUAGGGUUGUAAAGAUCUUUCGCUGGGGAAGAUAAUGACGGUACCCAGUAAAGAAGCCCCGGCUAACUCCGUGCCAGCAGCCGCGGUAAUACGGAGGGGGCUAGCGUUGUUCGGAAUUACUGGGCGUAAAGCGCGCGUAGGCGGACUGGAAAGUUGGGGGUGAAAUCCCGGGGCUCAACCCCGGAACUGCCUCCAAAACUGUCAGUCUGGAGUUCGAGAGAGGUGAGUGGAAUUGCGAGUGUAGAGGUGAAAUUCGUAGAUAUUCGCAGGAACACCAGUGGCGAAGGCGGCUCACUGGCUCGAUACUGACGCUGAGGUGCGAAAGUGUGGGGAGCAAACAGGAUUAGAUACCCUGGUAGUCCACACCGUAAACGAUGAAUGCCAGACGUCGGGCAGCAUGCUGUUCGGUGUCACACCUAACGGAUUAAGCAUUCCGCCUGGGGAGUACGG
rnacentral:rRNA from 1 species